UACGAAGGGGGCUAGCGUUGUUCGGAAUCACUGGGCGUAAAGCGCUCGUAGGCGGAUCUUUAAGUCGGGGGUGAAAUCCUGGAGCUCAACUCCAGAACUGCCUUCGAUACUGGAGAGCUUGAGUCCGGGAGAGGUGAGUGGAACUGCGAGUGUAGAGGUGAAAUUCGUAGAUAUUCGCAAGAACACCAGUGGCGAAGGCGGCUCACUGGCCCGGUAUGACGCUGAGGUGCGAAAGCGUGGGGAGCAAACAG
rnacentral:rRNA from 1 species